AAGAAAUGUUGCUCACCAACACUGAAAAAAGAGCAAUAUAAUACUCAUCGCAACAUACCAUUAUUCCAUACUUCAUCAACAUGGUCGUGUUGCAUACGGCAUGUGCACACGAUACAAGAGUUGAUACAAUCAUCGCAUUGUCGCAUACACGCUGCGACAUCGGGUUUGUUUUGCUUAUGGAUGUUGUUGAUACAUGUUUGUGCUGCAGCUGGCUUGUCAUGACUGAACUGAGACAAAAUAAACACUUUGUUUUGUUGCAAGCCUGUAAUCAUACGAUAUAGGUUUGUCAUAAACGGAGAGCGAAAUGAUAAACGGUGUUUCAAAGUGAUUUUCGGUGCUUAUUACUGGCACAGCGCAAACAGUCCUUUACUGGCGGAACACAAUGGUGAAGUGAACGUGUUGGGCCGAGGCUUCAACUUCGAGUGCGCUUUACGCUCGUCAGGCCCUUCGGCAUCAGAUAAUAUGGAUAAUAUGUGCUCCAAGCUUCCUUGUGAUAAGGGUCAUUUUGCAGCAUGCCGAGCCAACCUUUUGAUUAUUGGAUUUGUCGUAAGCGAGCUCACCAGUUCCUUCGCCAUCACACAUCUUCCAGCUUCCGCCACCGCACAUUGUUCAGCUUAACAGAACAUUAGAUGCUCCCAAGCAAGCUGCGACUUACAGUUCGGGAGCUUAUCAUCUAUGUCCGCAGUAGUUUUUUGUCGAGCGAUAGUUCAUAUGCUGUUGUCAACUACAGAGCAGCUGUAGCUCCAUAUGAUGAUAUUAUGAAUAAAUCACAUCGAAUACAAAAAUAAGUAAGUUUUGAAGUAAAAGAAAUUAAUAUUAAUAAAACUUAUAUAACAUACUGUUACUCAUAUCAGUAGCCCAUACCAGAAA